AGCAGCCGCGGUAAUUCCAGCUCCAAUAGCGUAUAUUAAAGUUGUUGCAGUUAAAAAGCUCGUAGUUGAAUUUCGGGGUUCUACCGUUGGUCGGGCUUUGUCUGUACUGGCGUGUAGAAUUUCUACCUUCUGGGGAACCGUCAUGUUAUUAAUUUAACGUGGUGGGAAACCAGGACCUUUACCUUGAAAAAAUUAGAGUGUUCAAAGCAGGCAAUCGCUUGAAUACAUUAGCAUGGAAUAAUGAAAUAGGACGUUCGAUCUUAUUUUGUUGGUUUCUAAGAUUGACGUAAUGAUUAAUAGGGAUAGUUGGGGGCAUUAGUAUUCAAUUGUCAGAGGUGAAAUUCUUGGAUGUAU
rnacentral:rRNA from 1 species